AGCAGCCGCGGUAAUUCCAGCUCCAAUAGCGUAUAUUAAAGUUGCUGCAGUUAAAAGCUCGUAGUUGAAUUUCGGGAUCAAUAUGUUGGUCGUGCCUCGGUACGUACUAGCUUAUUGGUUUCUUCCUUCUGACGAACCAUAAUGUCAUUUAUUUGGUGUUAUGGGGAAUCAGGACUGUUACUUUGAAAAAUUAGAGUGUUUAAAGCAGGCUCACGCUUGAAUACAUUAGCAUGGAAUAAUGAAAUAGGACGUUUGAUUCUAUUUUGUUGGUUUCUAGGAUCGACGUAAUGAUUAAUAGGGAUAGUUGGGGGCAUUAGUAUUCAAUUGUCAGAGGUGAAAUUCUUGGAUUUAUUGAAGACUAACUACUGCGAAAGCAUUUGCCAAGGAUGUUUUCAUUAAUCAAGAACGAAAGUUAGGGAUCGAAGACGAUCGGAUACCGUCGUAGUCUUAACCAUAAACUAUAGCCGACUAGGGAUCGGAUGAUGUUAAUUUUUAAUGACUCAUUCGGCGCCUUACGGGU
rnacentral:misc_RNA from 1 species